AGAGUUUGAUCAUGGCUCAGAUUGAACGCUGGCGGCAGGCCUAACACAUGCAAGUCGAGCGGUAGCACAGAGAGCUUGCUCUCGGGUGACGAGCGGCGGACGGGUGAGUAAUGUCUGGGAAACUGCCUGAUGGAGGGGGAUAACUACUGGAAACGGUAGCUAAUACCGCAUAAUGUCGCAAGACCAAAGUGGGGGACCUUCGGGCCUCAUGCCAUCAGAUGUGCCCAGAUGGGAUUAGCUAGUAGGUGGGGUAACGGCUCACCUAGGCGACGAUCCCUAGCUGGUCUGAGAGGAUGACCAGCCACACUGGAACUGAGACACGGUCCAGACUCCUACGGGAGGCAGCAGUGGGGAAUAUUGCACAAUGGGCGCAAGCCUGAUGCAGCCAUGCCGCGUGUGUGAAGAAGGCCUUCGGGUUGUAAAGCACUUUCAGCGGGGAGGAAGGCGNNNNNNNNNNNNNNNNNNNNNNNCGAUUGACGUUACCCGCAGAAGAAGCACCGGCUAACUCCGUGCCAGCAGCCGCGGUAAUACGGAGGGUGCAAGCGUUAAUCGGAAUUACUGGGCGUAAAGCGCACGCAGGCGGUCUGUCAAGUCGGAUGUGAAAUCCCCGGGCUCAACCUGGGAACUGCAUUCGAAACUGGCAGGCUAGAGUCUUGUAGAGGGGGGUAGAAUUCCAGGUGUAGCGGUGAAAUGCGUAGAGAUCUGGAGGAAUACCGGUGGCGAAGGCGGCCCCCUGGACAAAGACUGACGCUCAGGUGCGAAAGCGUGGGGAGCAAACAGGAUUAGAUACCCUGGUAGUCCACGCCGUAAACGAUGUCGAUUUGGAGGUUGUGCCCUUGAGGCGUGGCUUCCGGAGCUAACGCGUUAAAUCGACCGCCUGGGGAGUACGGCCGCAAGGUUAAAACUCAAAUGAAUUGACGGGGGCCCGCACAAGCGGUGGAGCAUGUGGUUUAAUUCGAUGCAACGCGAAGAACCUUACCUGGUCUUGACAUCCACAGAACUUUCCAGAGAUGGAUUGGUGCCUUCGGGAACUGUGAGACAGGUGCUGCAUGGCUGUCGUCAGCUCGUGUUGUGAAAUGUUGGGUUAAGUCCCGCAACGAGCGCAACCCUUAUCCUUUGUUGCCAGCGGUCCGGCCGGGAACUCAAAGGAGACUGCCAGUGAUAAACUGGAGGAAGGUGGGGAUGACGUCAAGUCAUCAUGGCCCUUACGACCAGGGCUACACACGUGCUACAAUGGCAUAUACAAAGAGAAGCGACCUCGCGAGAGCAAGCGGACCUCAUAAAGUAUGUCGUAGUCCGGAUUGGAGUCUGCAACUCGACUCCAUGAAGUCGGAAUCGCUAGUAAUCGUAGAUCAGAAUGCUACGGUGAAUACGUUCCCGGGCCUUGUACACACCGCCCGUCACACCAUGGGAGUGGGUUGCAAAAGAAGUAGGUAGCUUAACCUUCGGGAGGGCGCUUACCACUUUGUGAUUCAUGACUGGGGUGAAGUCGUAACAAGGUAACCGUAGGGGAACCUGCGGUUGGAUCACCU
rnacentral:rRNA from 1 species